rnacentral:rRNA from 1 species
UGGGGAAUAUUGGACAAUGGGGGCAACCCUGAUCCAGCCAUGCCGCGUGAGUGAUGAAGGCCCUAGGGUUGUAAAGCUCUUUCGGCGGGGACGAUAAUGACGGUACCCGCAGAAGAAGCCCCGGCCUAACUUCGUGC